UACAGAAGCUAUCCCAUCUAUG
rnacentral:siRNA from 1 species